UGCCAGAUAGCUCGCUACAAAACUAUUUUGUACCCGACUAUACUGCGGCCGAUUUCAGUCGCAUUUUGCGACAACAUCGCUGCUGAAAGCUCGCCUGAACGCUGAAAACUUAGCGCUAAAAUAAUUGAAUUUACGCUUUAUUAUUUAAUUGAUUUUUUCAAUUGAAGUGAGUGAGAAGAAUUGAACAUGGCUGCCGAAGCAGGUCCCGCUCAGACCGGGCUGGCGCCCCCAGAGGGCGAGACGGGCCCCGAUGGCGAGAUCAUCGGAGGGCCCCGCACGCCGCAGCAGAUUGCAGCCCAGAGGCGGUUGCAGCAGACGCAGGCGCAAGUUGAUGAGGUGGUGGAUAUCAUGAAAACAAACAUGGACAAGGUGCUGGACCGAGAUGUGAAACUAUCAGAACUUGACGACAGAGCAGAUGCCCUGCAGUAUGGCGCGUCACAGUUUGAGCAACAAGCCAAAAGUUUGAAGAACAAGUUCUGGUUACAAAAUCUUAAGAUGAUGAUAAUAAUGGGAGUGAUCGGGAUCGUUAUAAUAGGCCUACUAUUUGGUGAUAACAUUAAACAAAUGUUUGGUUAGUUCGGUACCGAGGAACGUCGACUGUGACGGCCCCACCACCGAUCGCACCCGGCAAUAACACUGUGACAACAAAUACUAACCAUUGAAAAUAUAUGUAAUUAAUUCACUCGUCGCAUCCGUUGGGUUCCACUUCAAAUGUGAAGCUAACUUAUUACAAUAUAAUAUUUUAUUAUUUAUCUAUUGUGGACGUAUUAAUAAAAUUGUAACAACUAGGCUCUAACUUUAAAGGAACGAAAUAUUACACAAUAUACUCGGCUGUUUUUUGAAUAAUUCAAUUAUUCAAAAUUUUAAACUUUAACUAGAUUAUAAUAUUCGAAAAUAUUUAUGUCAACAAAAUAAUUAUGUGGUUAAAAAUCUUUAAAAUGAUGCUUAAAUUAUAAAAUGUAACGUUAGCCUUAAGUGAAGACAUAAGUUCUAAUCUAUCCGUAUACAAGGUUUAGAUUUAAAAAAAGUUUAGUAAAAAAGAUUUUGCUCUUUUCAUAUUGGAAACACGACACUAAAUUUAAAACAACUAAAUAUGGCUGUUUGAAAAUUUAUUUGCGUGCCUUGUAGAUACUAUUUAGAGUCCUGUUUCAACGUACGUAAUAUCUAUUUGCUCAUUUAAACGUACUAUGAAUAUCUAUGUAUUUAUAAUUGAUAACUACUGUCGGCCAAAAGCUUGUGAAAGCGUUCAGGUUCUUCCAAAUGUAGUGGAAUCUUUCUGAUACUGUAAAAUAGCUCUAUAUUGACACAAUAUUAAUCUAUAUUCCCAACACUAAUAUCUUGUGUUUUCUCAUUGUAUACCACCAAAUACAACAGCGAUGGUAGAAAUAUGGAAUUGAACUGUAAGACAAAAUAAUUAUAAUAUUUAAAAUUAUUUUCGCUUAUUUUAUAGUUUAACAGAUCUUAUGAAUAGAAUUAUUGUAAAAUUAAUUAUAAUUAUUUCGAAAGUCCAUUAGUAUUCAUAGCGUCUUAGAAGUCAAUUAUUUGCAAUUUACAGAAAAUAUUCUUAUAUUUUAGCGGCUUAAAGUGAGUCAAUUAAAUACAGAAGUGGAUUUAAUAAUUUAAUUAUUGCUAUUUAAUAUAGAAAUUAUUUUUAGGACAGCGAUUAUUAUUGAAAUUAUUUACGUCAAUGUAUUUUAGGCUGAAACAAAUGAAACUGUAAAUGCUUACAGUUUUGGAGUGCCGUCAUUUAAUUUUGCGAUUAUAUGCCUAAUUAACGGAAUAAUUAUUUGCAUUAAUACGUAUAAAACUAUACUAUAAUUACUUAGAGUACAUGCAGGUUGGUAAGGAAGACGAGGUUGUAUUUUCUCUGUAGGUACAAUGUGAAAUUGUAAGCAGUUACAAAUCAAGGUGCCACUGACAAUAUUAGUUCUUUUAUAAAAUAACGAGUGUGAUAAUUAAAUGAAUUAUAUAAUUAUAAUUAUUUGACUAUUCGGUGUUGUGCUAAUCGCUUGUCUUUUCAAUGUAGUUAUAUUAACUUAACUACAAGACUUAAGAGGGAAGACAUAAGACAAAAUUCUAUUAUACACACUGUAGGAAAUUAUAUUCUAUCUAUUUCAUAGUGUAUCUCAUAGGAUAUCUUAUAGCAUUCCUAAUAAAGUAUAUACAAUUUCCCCAUCAUACGAUCUCGAUGCCCCAAUGGGUUGUGACGUUGAUCCAAGUUUAUGUCGCAGAUUACGAAAAUAAACAUUAAAUGUUCAGAAUUUUGUAUCCUUCAAUAUAAACUUAGAACAACAUCAACACUAAUUUGCGAAUUAUAAUAAUUAAAAAUUCCUUAAUGUUUAAAAUUCCUUGACAGUUGCCAUUUGCAACUUUAAUUCAAAGAUUAAAUAUUUUAUUCGACGAGUUAAAUAAUUAAAAUCUAUUUAUAUUUAACGAAAUAAUUAUUUAUUUAACAAUUCAAUGUUGUAGUGUAAGAUGUAUUAUUUCAAUUUUAAUUUGUAACAUUUACGAAUUUGUCGUGUUAUCAUUAAAUUAUUAUUGAAAGUCACAGAUUAUAC
rnacentral:misc_RNA from 1 species